rnacentral:rRNA from 1 species
GACGUAGGGCGCGAGCGUUGUCCGGAUUUAUUGGGCGUAAAGAGCUCGUAGGCGGCUUGUCGCGUCGACUGUGAAAACCCGCGGCUCAACCGCGGCCUGCAGCCGAUACGGGCAGGCUAGAGUUCGGUAGGGGGAGACUGGAAUUCCUGGUGUAGCGGUGAAAAUGCGCAGAUAUCAGGAGGAACACCGAUGGCGAAGGCAGGUCUCUGGGCCGAUACUGACGCUGAGGAGCGAAAGCGUGGGGAGCGAACAGG